rnacentral:rRNA from 1 species
UAGGGAAUCUUCCGCAAUGGGCGAAAGCCUGACGGAGCAACGCCGCGUGAGUGAUGAAGGUCUUCGGAUCGUAAAACUCUGUUAUUAGGGAAGAACAAAUGUGUAAGUAACUAUGCACGUCUUGACGGUACCUAAUCAGAAAGCCACGGCUAACUACGUGCCAGCAGCCGCGGUAAUACGUAGGUGGCAAGCGUUAUCCGGAAUUAUUGGGCGUAAAGCGCGCGUAGGCGGUUUUUUAAGUCUGAUGUGAAAGCCCACGGCUCAACCGUGGGGGGUCAUUGGAAACUGGAAAACUAGAGUGCAGAAGAGGAGAGUGGAAUUCAAUGUGUAGCGGUGAAAUGCGCAGAAAUAUGGAGGAACACCAGUGGCGAAGGCGACUUUCUGGUCUGUAACUGACGAUGAUGUGCGAAAGCGUGGGGAUCAAACAGG